GGCUAAGGUCAGUAAGGUAUUGUCAUGCAUGAAAAAGGGCAUUCAUUCUCGGGAUGAGAAUAUCAUUUUGCCUUUAUAUAUCACUGGUAAGACCACAUCUUGAAUAUGCUGUGCAAUUUUGGGCAGCACUUGUUCUGAAGAAGGAUAUUAUGGCACUAGAAAAAGUGCAGAGGCAGGCUACAAAAUUAAUAAAAUAAAUGACCUUCUCACCUGCUGCUCGCACCCGUACGGCCAACUCCGGCUUGCAUUACUUCUCACGGGCGGCUCCCUUCCUAUGGAAUAACCUGCCUACCACCAAAAGACUCUCCCCUAGUCUUCAAUAGUUUAAGAAGUGCCUCCCAGCAUAACCUCUACCUCACAUACCUGUCUCUUGCUCUCUCCUAAAGGGCAGCACUUUACUCUCUUCUCCAGCUGUGCUUCACUCCCACCUUAUUAAAUUGCUAUUUCCUGUCCUAAUGUGUUUUAUACCCCACCUCCUAUAGACUGUAAGCUCAUUUGAGCUAUCGUUCCUGUAAGUUUUCUUGUAAUUGUCCUAUUUAUAGUUAAAUCACCC